CCAGCGGGAGGUAGGGGGUACAUCAUUUUGUUUUUUUUUUUUUUUUUUUAAAAAUUAUGCCUUAUGGAUUUCGAGUAUAUCAGACAGCGAUAAUAAUAGUGUAUGAGUCCCGACGAAUCUGUUUACAUAUAUUAUUAUAAUAUUAUGUUACAGGAACGAGCGAAUGUAAUGUCAGUGGAUCGAAUCUCACGACGAAGAUAAAUUUUUCUGUUGCAUUUUCGUAUAAAUUGUGUCGUCCACGGUUAGUGUCUAAAGAAUGUUUGGUUUUUUUUUUUUUUUUUUUUUUUUGUAAAUUUAUACGAGUUCCAUUUUAGGUUGACGUAACGUUACCGGUAUUACGGAAACUCGCAUUUAACGUUACCGCAGACGUUAAAACUAUGUGUUUAAAUAGACAUCGCUAAGACGAUCUCUUUAAUGUUUUAUCAAACGCGGUGUGCACCGUUAACUGAAACGACUCUGAUACAGCAAUAGAACCGCGAUUUUUUUUUCAAUCGCGGUUUUCGGAAAACGGUAUAGUCAACGUCACGUGAACCUUGCCCGGCGGGGUUUUAUCAUUAUUUUAUUUUAUUUUGUUAUUAUUAUUAUUAUUAUUUUUUUUUUUUUUUUUUUCGGAGAAAUUCCGUCCGGGCGGGUCGGGUAUGGGAAUUUCGUUUGCGUCUCCUGCGAAAAUCGCCUGCUAGCUACGCCUAUGUUUACGGGUAUUUACA